rnacentral:rRNA from 1 species
GAUGAACGCUGGCGGCGUGCUUAAUACAUGCAAGUCGAGCGAACGGACGAGGAGCUUGCUUCUCUGAUGUUAGCGGCGGACGGGUGAGUAACACGUGGAUAACCUACUUAUAUGACUGGGAUAACUUCGGGAAACGGGAGCUAAUCCCGGAUGAUAUUUUGAACCGCAGGGUUCAAUAGUAAAAGACGGUCUUGCUGUCUCUUAUAGAUGGAUCCGCGCUGCAUUAGCUAGUUGGUAAGGUAACGGCUUACCAAGGCAACGAUGCAUAGCCGACCUGAGAGGGUGAUCGGCCACACUGGAACUGAGACACGGUCCAGACUCCUACGGGAGGCAGCAGUAGGGAAUCUUCCGCAAUGGGCGAAAGCCUGACGGAGCAACGCCGCGUGAGUGAUGAAGGUCUUCGGAUCGUAAAACUCUGUUAUUAGGGAAGAACAUAUGUGUAAGUAACUGUGCACAUCUUGACGGUACCUAAUCAGAAAGCCACGGCUAACUACGUG